UGGGGAAUAUUGCACAAUGGGGGAAACCCUGAUGCAGCGACGCCGCGUGAGCGAAGAAGGUUUUCGAAUCGUAAAGCUCUGUCCUAUGGGAAGAUAAUGACGGUACCAUAGGAGGAAGCCCCGGCUAACUACGUGCCAGCAGCCGCGGUAAUACGUAGGGGGCAAGCGUUGUCCGGAAUCACUGGGCGUAAAGGGUUCGCAGGCGGAAAUGCAAGUCAGUUGUGAAAGGCAGAGGCUCAACCUCUGUAAGCAAUUGAAACUGUAUUUCUUGAGAUGUGGAGAGGCAAGUGGAAUUCCUAGUGUAGCGGUGAAAUGCGUAGAUAUUAGGAAGAAUACCGGUGGCGAAGGCGACUUGCUGGACUCAAACUGACGCUGAGGAACGAAAGCGUGGGUAGCAAACAGG
rnacentral:rRNA from 1 species